rnacentral:rRNA from 1 species
AUUGAACGCUGGCGGCAUGCUUUACACAUGCAAGUCGAGCGGCAGCGCGGGGGCAACCCUGGCGGCGAGCGGCGAACGGGUGAGUAAUGCAUCGGAACGUACCCUGGAGUGGGGGAUAACGCCGCGAAAGCGGCGCUAAUACCGCAUAUGCUCUGAGGAGGAAGGUGGGGGACCGCAAGGCCUCACGCUCUGGGAGCGGCCGAUGUCCGAUUAGCGAGUUGGGGGGGUAAAGGCUUACCAAGGCGACGAUCGGUAGCUGGUCGGAGAGGAUGAUCAGACACACUGGGACGGGGACACUGCCCAGACUCCUACGGGAGGCAGCAGUGGGGAAUUUUGGACAUUGGGGGCAACCCUGAUCCAGCCAUGCCGCGUGAGGGAAGAAGGCCUUCGGGUUGUAAAGCUCUUUUGGUCGGGAAGAAAGUGCCUUGCUUAAUACGCGGGGUAUUUGACGGUACCGGCAGAAUAAGCACCGGCUAACUACGUGCCAGCCGCCGCCGUAACAC